GCAGGCGUUUGUAGCCACUUUUAAGUUUUAUCAGCUAGUUCAUGCUUGCGUUGAAAGAGUGGUCGUUUGCGCUGGGUCAUCACUGUGUAGUAUUGGGGAUACUUAGGUGAGAAAAAAACUUAACGCUAGAGACGUUCACGCACUAGUGGAGAAGCCAGGAUUGUUGCCCUAGAGUUACAGUAGAUAAAAGUACCUCAGAGAACUGCGGGGGCUCCCAACCUGGACGCUUGCACCGGAGUAUUAAAUCCAGCUAGAGAAUGGCAUGUGCAAAGAUACAGAGCUACAGUCAAAUGGGCAGCUGAAGAUGAUGAUGAUGAUGAUCUUGACACCGAGAAGCAGAAGACCAAUGAAGAUGACCAGACAGCAAAAAAGGAUAAGUUAAAAGAAGGGUCUCGCUCUGUAUCCCAGGCUGGAGUUCAGUGGCACGAUCUCCGCUCGCUGCAACCUCCGCCUCCUGGGUUCAAGUGAUUCUCCUGCCUCAGCCUCCCAAGUAGCUGGAUUACAGGGCCUUCUUACAGAUGGAUAAAUGCGGCACUGGCUAGCGGUACAGAGAGAUGGAGCCCAGGAGAAAACUGCUGCUCUUUUGUCCUGGCUGGAAAAUCCUCCUAUGGCCUCCUUUAGUACACAUCAGCUGACUCUUCACUUGUCAUAAUAAACCGCCUGUCUGCAGCUCAAAAUGGCAAGAAAAAAGGUGGUUCUGUUCAGAGGACACUGGAUUCCAAAAGGUGGACUUCAUCAUGGGGGGAAUCAAGUCCUGCUACACAAUUAAUACAGAUUAGUAUAGUCCCCUGCCUCGCACCACUGGCGAGAUGCCCUCCAAGACCUGGCUGACAUGAGCUUCCUGGGACUCCCCAUCUCCAGUGUUGUUGGGGUCCUUUUACCUGUACCGUAUUAAUCGAAUAAUCUUAUUGUUCAUAAAAUCCAGAGCAUGUGGGUGAGAAGAAUCGAUGCAGAAGCCAUCGCUCAGAGCGAUUUUCAGUACCUCUUCCACGAAGACCUGGAAGCUGUUGAUCUGCUUGUUGGCGGGCACCACCCAGAGCCUCUUGAGGUUCUGCUUGGUGUACUCCUCCUCUGGCAGGCCCU
rnacentral:lncRNA from 1 species